UAUUAACUCAAAUGAUUCGCGUACAGCCAUGGAGACGGUCAGCGUGUUUGGAUUAUUGGUGUUACUGGCGAAUUCCUGUCUCUGUUCCCUCAUUUGUGACAAAGUGGAUGUGGCAGAAAUAGAAGGGGACGUUAUUAGCGUUUGUUACAAUGAGGG